rnacentral:rRNA from 1 species
AGGGUUCGAUUCUGGCUCAGGAUGAACGCUGGCGGCGUGCUUAACACAUGCAAGUCGAACGGGAUCCAUCAGGCUUUGCUUGGUGGUGAGAGUGGCGAACGGGUGAGUAAUGCGUGACCGACCUGCCCCAUACACCGGAAUAGCUCCUGGAAACGGGUGGUAAUGCCGGAUGCUCCAGUUGAUCGCAUGGUCUUCUGGGAAAGCUUUCGCGGUAUGGGAUGGGGUCGCGUCCUAUCAGCUUGACGGCGGGGUAACGGCCCACCGUGGCUUCGACGGGUAGCCGGCCUGAGAGGGCGACCGGCCACAUUGGGACUGAGAUACGGCCCAGACUCCUACGGGAGGCAGCAGUGGGGAAUAUUGCACAAUGGGCGCAAGCCUGAUGCAGCGACGCCGCGUGCGGGAUGACGGCCUUCGGGUUGUAAACCGCUUUUGAUCGGGAGCAAGCCUUCGGGUGAGUGUACCUUUCGAAUAAGCACCGGCUAACUACGUGCCAGCAGCCGCGGUAAUACGUAGGGUGCAAGCGUUAUCCGGAAUUAUUGGGCGUAAAGGGCUCGUAGGCGGUUCGUCGCGUCCGGUGUGAAAGUCCAUCGCUUAACGGUGGAUCUGCGCCGGGUACGGGCGGGCUGGAGUGCGGUAGGGGAGACUGGAAUUCCCGGUGUAACGGUGGAAUGUGUAGAUAUCGGGAAGAACACCAAUGGCGAAGGCAGGUCUCUGGGCCGUUACUGACGCUGAGGAGCGAAAGCGUGGGGAGCGAACAGGAUUAGAUACCCUGGUAGUCCACGCCGUAAACGGUGGAUGCUGGAUGUGGGGCCCGUUCCACGGGUUCCGUGUCGGAGCUAACGCGUUAAGCAUCCCGCCUGGGGAGUACGGCCGCAAGGCUAAAACUCAAAGAAAUUGACGGGGGCCCGCACAAGCGGCGGAGCAUGCGGAUUAAUUCGAUGCAACGCGAAGAACCUUACCUGGGCUUGACAUGUUCCCGACAGCCGUAGAGAUAUGGCCUCCCUUCGGGGCGGGUUCACAGGUGGUGCAUGGUCGUCGUCAGCUCGUGUCGUGAGAUGUUGGGUUAAGUCCCGCAACGAGCGCAACCCUCGCCCUGUGUUGCCAGCACGUCAUGGUGGGAACUCACGGGGGACCGCCGGGGUCAACUCGGAGGAAGGUGGGGAUGACGUCAGAUCAUCAUGCCCCUUACGUCCAGGGCUUCACGCAUGCUACAAUGGCCGGUACAACGGGAUGCGACACGGCGACGUGGAGCGGAUCCCUGAAAACCGGUCUCAGUUCGGAUUGGAGUCUGCAACCCGACUCCAUGAAGGCGGAGUCGCUAGUAAUCGCGGAUCAGCAACGCCGCGGUGAAUGCGUUCCCGGGCCUUGUACACACCGCCCGUCAAGUCAUGAAAGUGGGUAGCACCCGAAGCCGGUGGCCUAACCCUUUGUGGAUGGAGCCGUCUAAGGUGAGACUCGUGAUUGGGACUAAGUCGUAACAAGGUAGCCGUACCGGAAGGUGCGGCUG